AUUGAACGCUGGCGGCAGGCCUAACACAUGCAAGUCGAACGAGUGGCGGACGGGUGAGUAAUUUCUGGGAAACUGCCUGAUGGAGGGGGAUAACUACUGGAAACGGUAGCUAAUACCGCAUACCAUCGGAUGUGCCCAGAUGGGAUUAGCUAGUUGGUGGGGUAAAGGCUCACCUAGGCGACGAUCCCUAGCUGGUCUGAGAGGAUGACCAGCCAAACUGGGACUGAGAAACGGUCCAGACUCCUACGGGAGGCAGCAGUGGGGAAUAUUGCACAAUGGGCGCAAGCCUGAUGCAGCCAUGACGCGUGUAUGAAGAAGGCCUUCGGGUUGUAAAGCACUUUUGGUGGGGAGGCGGUACCCGAAGAAGAAGUAACGGCUAACUACGUGCCAGCAGCCGCGGUAAUAC
rnacentral:rRNA from 1 species